CUAAAAGUCACAGACCUCACUUUUCCAUGCACCAGAAGCAACUCUGCUAUCUCUUCUGUAUUACCCUGGGAAUCAGUGUAGCUACUGGAAAGGCACACUACAGGGCUCAGAAGGAGAAAAACAAUCUGAUAAAAAUCCUGGACUUGAGCCUCCUUGGAUCAGAAGAUCUUAUUCUUGGAAGCAAGCAAAUUUGUUCUGGAGCCUUCCCAUUGGAGGCUCAAUAUAUAAAACAAAGAACUGACAAAUCUGGCACUCAGUACAAACAGCAGAUGGGACAGCCUCCAGUUUUUGUUUC
rnacentral:lncRNA from 1 species